GUGACAGAGGUCACAGUUGAGCCUCAGCCUCAUGGGUGACUGUCUUGUGCCCGGGGCAGAGUCUGGGGAAGAAGAUUUAGCCCUCUUCAGCCCACGGGGAACCAGCAGGAGCCUCGAGAGGAGAGACCCAGCACCCAGGUGAUGAGUCUGGCAUGUAUAGGGCAUCUCAUAAAUCUGGUAUUAA